UCACUGGGACUUUUCUCUGGGAUUUGAUCAGGUUGGGAGUUUACCACAUCUGAGCUGCUUUGUCAAAGGGCUGCAUCACAGCAGCAUUAGCAGAGCAAUUGCCUGCCCCCACCUAUCAUGCAAGCCCUCAAGCCUCCCAUGGUCAGCGUGCUUUACUGCCACUGCCAGCAAUCUCUCAAACCAUUUAACCCUCCAAAGCGGCAGGAGAAACGGACAGGAAGGAGAGAGGAUCAGGAGGAAUGAAAGCUGUGGUGCUCAAAUUAAUUUCAAGACCACUUACCAAGUCAUCAGACACAUGGGGCACAAAGGGACAGUAAAUUUACUCUGCAAGGGAAGAAGUGGAUAAAUUGGUAAAAGGGACUUGAAUUCAGGACAGCAAUGUUAAAAGUUGCCGUGUCCGGUGUCAUUUGCCCUGCUUGGAGGAUCUCUAGGAGAGCGGAUUGCCCCUGCCCAGGACUGCCUGCCCCUGCUCACAUCUCACCCACUACCAUUUUGUACUAGUCCUUUGUGAAUAAACUCUUUACUUUGA